CGGACGGGUGAGUAAUGUCUGGGAAACUGCCCGAUGGAGGGGGAUAACUACUGGAAACGGUAGCUAAUACCGCAUAACGUCGCAAGACCAAAGAGGGGGACCUUCGGGCCUCUUGCCAUCGGAUGUGCCCAGAUGGGAUUAGCUAGCAGGUGGGGUAACGGCUCACCUAGGCGACGAUCCCUAGCUGGUCUGAGAGGAUGACCAGCCACACUGGAACUGAGACACGGUCCAG
rnacentral:rRNA from 1 species